AUUGAACGCUAGCGGCAUGCUUUACACAUGCAAGUCGAACGAGUGGCGGACGGGUGAGUAAUAUAUCGGAACGUGCCCAAUAGCGGGGGAUAACUACUCGAAAGCGUGGCUAAUACCGCAUACUAUUGGAGCGGCCCAUAUCGGAUUGGCUAGUUGGUGGGGUAAAGGCUCACCAAGGCAACGAUCCGUAGCUGGUGUGAGAGGAUGACCAGCCACACUGGGACUGAGACACGGCCCAGACUCCUACGGGAGGCAGCAGUGGGGAAUGUGGUACAAUGGGGGAAACCCUGAUCCAGCCAUCCCGCGUGUAUGAGAAGGCCUUCGGGUUGUAAAGUACUUUUAGCAGAGAAGCGGUAUCUGCAGAAUAAGCACCGGCUAACUCCGUGCCAGCAGCCGCGGUAAUUC
rnacentral:rRNA from 1 species